CACCCUUUAAUGUUUGAUGUUCUAACGUGGACCCGUGAUCCGGGUUGCGGACAGUGUCUGGUGGGUAGUUUGACUGGGGCGGUCUCCUCCUAAAGAGUAACGGAGGAGCACGAAGGUUGGCUAAUCCUGGUCGGACAUCAGGAGGUUAGUGCAAUGGCAUAAGCCAGCUUGACUGCGAGCGUGACGGCGCGAGCAGGUGCGAAAGCAGGUCAUAGUGAUCCGGUGGUUCUGAAUGGAAGGGCCAUCGCUCAACGGAUAAAAGGUACUCCGGGGAUAACAGGCUGAUACCGCCCAAGAGUUCAUAUCGACGGCGGUGUUUGGCACCUCGAUGUCGGCUCAUCACAUCCUGGGGCUGAAGUAGGUCCCAAGGGUAUGGCUGUUCGCCAUUUAAAGUGGUACGCGAGCUGGGUUUAGAACGUCGUGAGACAGUUCGGUCCCUAUCUGCCGUGGGCGCUGGAGAACUGAGGGGGGCUGCUCCUAGUACGAGAGGACCGGAGUGGACGCAUCACUGGUGUUCGGGUUGUCAUGCCAAUGGCACUGCCCGGUAGCUAAAUGCGGAAGAGAUAAGUGCUGAAAGCAUCUAAGCACGAAACUUGCCCCGAGAUGAGUUCUCCCUGAGACUUUAGGUCUCCUGAAGGAACGUUGAAGACGACGACGUUGAUAGGCCGGGUGUGUAAGCGCAGCGAUGCGUUGAGCUAACCGGUACUAAUGAACCGUGAGGCUUAACCUU
rnacentral:rRNA from 1 species